UACGGGGGGAGCAAGCGUUGUUCGGAUUUACUGGGCGUAAAGGGCGCGUAGGCGGUCGUGACAAGUCACUUGUGAAAUCUCCGGGCUUAACUCGGAGCGGCCAAGUGAUACUGUCGUGCUAGAGUGCGGAAGGGGCUACUGGAAUUCUCGGUGUAGCGGUGAAAUGCGUAGAUAUCGAGAGGAACACCUGCGGCGAAGGCGGGUAGCUGGGCCGACACUGACGCUGAGGCGCGAAAGCUAGGGGAGCGAACGGG
rnacentral:rRNA from 1 species